rnacentral:piRNA from 1 species
GUAGCCUAGGCUGUCCCUGAACUCCUGAU